rnacentral:lncRNA from 1 species
GAGCGCUAAUGAUCUCAUUUAAUGAAUGAUAAACACUGACUGGAUGAGGUUCGGUGAAGAGUGUGUGUGAAUCGUGCUGUUGAUUCAGCAUCUCCUCCACUGCGCUGAGGUGCGCGCGCGUGUGUGUGUGUGUGUGCGUGAGAGAGAGAGAGAGAGAGAGAGAGAGGCUGGGGGGGGGGUGCGCGCGCGCGCGCUUGUGUGUGUGUGUGUGAGAGAGAGGCUGGGGGGGGUGUGCGCGCGCGCGCGCGUGUGUGUGUGUGUGUGUGUGUGAGAGCAUGAUCGAGUGCAUGUGGACGCGUGAGGCAGGAGGAAGGAUGGCUGCUCAUGUGUGAUCCGCAGACAGACAGCUGUAUUUGCUCGGAGACAGCGCACACUCGUCGCUCUGCGUCGUCAGGAUGCCUGCGGAGGGGAACGAGAAGCCGGAUUCAGAGGAAUCAGCGGCCGAAUCUUCAGCUCGAGACACCAAAGAGCAGACGGAGGAGACGGCAGAAACCCCGUCCUCAGACCUGUCCAACCCGGCAAGCUCAAAUCACACAGAAACCCAUACUGAGAGUUCAGGCAUCGGGACGGAGAAAUCGUCCAGUCCUGAGAGCGAAUCCAACCCACUCAGCUCCAGCAGCUCCAAUGAACAGAUCGUGCCCAACAUCCUGAAGGUGAAUAUGGCAGAAUGUACAUAUCAUGUAAGCUUUUCAUUGGGAAAGCCGGUAUUAAAGAAUAUGAAUCAUCUGGUUUCAGUAUUGUAGUGGUGAAGGGUUAAAUUUAAUUCAGUCUGUUUCAUCAAAAGUGCCCUGCGGUAUUUUUUCCAGCUCAGUAGGACACAAAUUAAAUCAGAUUUCAUAGAGUCCAGAUCCUCAGGUGAGAUAAUGAAUGUGUUCAGAUCGAUGUAUUGUUAUUAAUUUGGCCUCUUCAUGGCUCAUUUGGAAACAGCUCAUCAUUAGUGGUGUUUACUGGGUAAAAUAUUGUCUUGUUUUUUUUUUAUCUACCAAAAGUUUAUGAUAAAAAAAGUGCAGCAUGAAAAUUAAACUUAAUUCAAAGGAAAAACAAGAUUAUUUUCUGACUCUGUUUGCAAAUAUAUGUUCCUGUUUUAAGCAUAAACUCACUUAAUUUGAAUUAUUCAUUUUUAUAAUUUUUCUGAAAAAAACAAGACUUAAUAUCUUAAUUAUUUUUGCAUCUCAAGUAAAU